CCCUUAGAUGUCCUGGGCCGCACGCGCGCCACACUGAUGCAUUCAACGAGUAUUUCCUUGGCCGAGAGGCCUGGGCAAUCUUUUAAACCUGCAUCGUGAUAGGGAUAGAUUAUUGCAAUUAUUAAUCUUGAACGAGGAAUUCCUAGUAAACGCAAAUCAUCAAUUUGCAUUGAUUACGUCCCUGCCCUUUGUACACACCGCCCGUCGCACCUACCGAUUGAAUGGUCCGGUGAAAUCUCGGGAUUGUGGCCAGUUCACUUUAUUGGGAGUUGGCUGCGAGAACUUGCUUAAACCUUAUCAUUUAGAGGAAGGUGAAGUCGUAACA
rnacentral:rRNA from 1 species